rnacentral:rRNA from 1 species
AUUGAACGCUGGCGGCAUGCCCUACACAUGCAAGUCGAACGGUAACAGGUCUUCGGAUGCUGACGAGUGGCGAACGGGUGAGUAAUACAUCGGAACGUGCCUAGUAGUGGGGGAUAACUACUCGAAAGAGUGGCUAAUACCGCAUGAGAUCUACGGAUGAAAGCAGGGGAUCGCAAGACCUUGUGCUACUAGAGCGGCCGAUGGCAGAUUAGGUAGUUGGUGGGAUAAAAGCUUACCAAGCCGACGAUCUGUAGCUGGUCUGAGAGGACGAUCAGCAACACUGGGACUGAGACACGGCCCAGACUCCUCCGGGAGGCAGCAGUGGGGAAUUUUGGACAAUGGGCGAAAGCCUGAUCCAGCAAUGCCGCGUGCAGGAUGAAGGCCUUCGGGUUGUAAACUGCUUUUGUACGGAACGAAAAGCCCCGGGCUAAUACCCUGGGGUCAUGACGGUACCGUAAGAAUAAGCACCGGCUAACUACGUGCCAGCAGCCGCCGUAA